CAAAAUUCAAAUUCACAAUAAUUUUGAUCUGCUCAAACGAAUUAAAUUUUAGAAUUUCAAAAUUCAAACGUAUAAUGUUCGAGUUUGAUGAACUGAUUGACUGUCCUGAAGAGUUUGUUGAGGAAACAUAUUCCGAGAGAUUUUGGGGCGCGUUAUCCACGUUACCGUACGCCGACCGAAUGUUGAAUGUGGCAGGAUCGAUUAAAAAACAUUUUACAGUUUCAGCCGCCUCACAGUAUUAUCGCGACAUCGGAUGGUGGACUAUAAGUACGGCCACGGUCUUAUUUUUACCAAUUUUCAUCGACAAGACGGUCCAGG